GAUGAACGCUGGCGGCGUGCCUAAUACAUGCAAGUCGAGCGAACAGACGAGGAGCUUGCUCCUCUGACGUUAGCGGCGGACGGGUGAGUAACACGUGGAUAACCUACCUAUAAGACCGGGAUAACUUCGGGAAACCGGAGCUAAUACCGGAUAAUAUAUUGAACCGCAUGGUUCAAUAGUGAAAGACGGUUUUGCUGUCACUUAUAGAUGGAUCCGCGCCGCAUUAGCUAGUUGGUAAGGUAACGGCUUACCAAGGCAACGAUGCGUAGCCGACCUGAGAGGGUGAUCGGCCACACUGGAACUGAGACACGGUCCAGACUCCUACGGGAGGCAGCAGUAGGGAAUCUUCCGCAAUGGGCGAAAGCUUGACGGAGCAACGCCGCGUGAGUGAUGAAGGUCUUCGGAUCGUAAAACUCUGUUAUUAGGGAAGAACAAAUGUGUAAGUAACUCUGCACGUCUUGACGGUACCUAAUCAGAAAGCCACGGCUAACUACGUG
rnacentral:rRNA from 1 species